GUAAACUUUGUCUCUCCUAUCAUUUUUUCAUUUUCUACACAACUUCCUGUAGAUUGUCAAAACCAUGCUUCCUGUAGGUUGUCAAAACCACGAGUCAGCGCUCAGAGGUAGGUGGCAGAUUGGUAGAAUUGUACACGCCUAUAAAAGCAAGGCCAUCACCCAUGAUUUUCACCACAAGAUUGAGAGUGUUCUUCUGUACCGUCACCCCCUCAGACACUCACGCAACUGUCGAAAAAUAUAGGGUAAAAUAUGUGAGAAUUUGGGUCUUAUGGUUAUCUCUGAAGGCCAUGGUGAAUCUCCCUCUCAAUUUACAUAGUGUUCCAUUUUGUUCAGAUGGAUUUGAUUAAUUUACUCUCUUAGUGAAUUUUGGAACCAACUUUCUUUGGUUUGGUGUAAUUCUGCUCAAAACGAUCAUUGCUAAGUGCUAGAAACUAUUGUUCACAAUACAUAUGUUCCUCCUGAAGCCAAUUAGUAAAGUAGGACUGGUACAUCCGUUGGUAUUUAUUUUGCCCUGCCCUCCCGGAGAGUAUUCAAUAAUAAAUCCACAGGUUUAUAGCUUCACAUGCAAAAACAUACACACAUUAGGGCAUUGUCUUGCUUACUUGACGCACUUGGCCAUUUUUAUAUAUUUAUUUAUUUGAGAUUUUUUCACUAUACUUAUAGAGAUCCUCAAUGUAAUAUAUGUUUAAAGUUUUUUUUUUCCUGUUUUGUACUUCCAAUAAGAAACAAUUCAAAUUGACCUACUGUAUUUGUUUCGUAUUAUAUAGAUUCUCUAACAUUAGUCCAAUAUUUAUGAAUAAGGUUAUCAUCCCUUUUUGUAGUCUCUUUCAUUAGUUUGGUAUUUCUGAAAUGUUAUCAUCUCUUUUUUGGUGUUUUGCACUUUCGCUGAGAAGCGAUUCAAACUGGCCUGAUAGAUCUUUUUGGCAGUAUAUAAUUUUUCCUUGUAUUGAAUUGCUGCUCAUUCUCAUGCAGGUUGGCAGUCCUAUUAAAAUGCAAUUAGAUGGAUAUCAGUAGCAAAACAUUUAUAUCUAUGUAUGUAUUCAAAGUGGCUCAAUGGUUUUCUUCUGUGUACUUUUUCUGUGUAUUUUCUCUGUGUUAUGGUGCAUAACCUAAUUUCAGUGUGCAAAUAUUUUGCAUGACUAAGCCUUGAGAUCAUGUAGUGCUCAUUGUAUCAAAAUUUCUUAGAGAGAUGUUCCCUCUCCCUUGCUCUUUCCCUCUCUCUCUCGAGCUAAUCACAGGUUAUGGACCAGCUGCCUUGGAGACUAAGCCGGAUAGCAUCAUGGCAAAAGGAGCGGCGGGGGUUCAGGGUGAGCACCUCUGUAGCAUGCCAUUUCCUUCAGGCAGGCCGAGGAGCAGCAGCCUCAGCUUUGCUCAUCCCCAAUUGAAAGUAUGCAGGUUGGAUUUGGUUCCGUGUCAGGGUGAGGAGGGGGUGCAAUGCCUGGCCCGAUUCAAUCUUAUGUGUCUGGCAAUGCCAGCACAGAGCUGCUGGACUGGAAAUAAUUGUGAUGGCCUAUCCACAGAAUUAGCACCCAUUUAGAGGUCAGGGUCUUCAAUCUAGGCACACUAACUAUUAUGUUCGACAAGUCAAUACGUCAGGGAUUACGCGCGGCGGCUGUGGUGAAGGUAUAUUCAUUAGCUCCUUUGUUGCUGACAAUAUUGGAGGCUUUUCAAACGAGGGACACAUGACAAAUGAACUAGCGGUAUUUCCAAUAAAAGUCAAUUAAAGAGGAGCGGAGGGAGUAUUAUAAAUCUUACAAAGGAACUAUUCUCUGUAGAGCUAUAUGAGUAUUCCACACAAAACAUUGUAGCCCUUACCAUUUUUUUCAUAGAUGUUCACGCCAUAUCUUACUAAAAGGAUUCCUGUUGUGAUUGAAGCUGGUUUUCAUCCUGUACACAAGAAGGAGAUCAAGGCCGAGAAAGGAUCUCCAGUGAUGCCACCACCGGCAAGGAAAGUGGAGAUGCAGGGUGCAAUUGGAGCUCCGCCUGGCUUUCCACCGUUGUAGAGCUUCGCUGCGAAAUGGCCAGCUGCACAACCGAGCACGAAAGGCAAUAAAAGAAAGGCCAGGCAAGAAUCCGAAGGGACUAGGUUAGGAAAAACAAAGUGAGGCCGGCACCUGCUGGUUGGGUUUUUGCCUGAGGCCAGGUUUCACCGUCGUUCCAAAUGCAGUCACGAACAACCCUUAUGGUACACUCAAGAGUCCAAAGGCAUUCUGUCAGUACAUCACCGGUGAUUUCCCACAGAAAAUCAUGCUCGGCAACACUGUUGGAGACACAUGGAGUGUUAGACUGGUGGAAUGGAGGAACUGCAUCUUCAUUGAGAACGACAAGGAGCUUAGGAAGUGUGCCUAAGCUGAACCUAGAACCAGCAGUAUCUUACACUUCUAGCAGGGAUGGGCCAGGGAGCCUCAACUCAACACUAUACAGUAGCACUCCCCUAUCGUCAGCAAUCCCAGGGAGUCUGAACUUCAGUGUGCAGAAUUCAACUUCAUCUUACUACUGUACCUUGAUCUGUUGUUGCUAAUUCAGAAGUGGUCUGCGACAGCAAGCUGAUGCAAUUCUCUGUUUUUGUAUGCUGAAACCAUGCGUACAUGCCACUUCAAUAGUUUCAGGCUGAAGCCAUACCUGUAUUGUUGGUGUAAUUGCAGCUCCACAAGAACUACUUGGUGCCCAGUCUAUGAUGUACAUAUCUGAACUCGAAAUGAUGGGUGUCCUUGGUUUUCAUUGUUCAAUAUAGAGCUUUUAUCAAACGAAUGACAACUCCUUAAUUUUGUAUUGAGCCUGGUAUCACUGGAACAAUGAAUUUAUACACUGCUUAAUCAUGGAUAUGACAUAUGACUUCUACUAUGAAGAUACAUUUCUAAACAGGCCAAUAUUUUUCUUACAACUA